rnacentral:rRNA from 1 species
CAAAGGUGAGCCAGUACAGGAUGGACCCGCGUCUGAUUAGCUAGUUGGUAAGGUAACGGCUUACCAAGGCGACGAUCAGUAGCCGACCUGAGAGGGUGAUCGGCCACAUUGGAACUGAGACACGGUCCAAACUCCUACGGGAGGCAGCAGUGGGGAAUAUUGCACAAUGGGCGAAAGCCUGAUGCAGCAACGCCGCGUGAGUGAUGAAGGCCUUCGGGUCGUAAAACUCUGUCCUCAAGGAAGAUAAUGACGGUACUUGAGGAGGAAGCCCCGGCUAACUACGUGCCAGCAGCCGCGGUAAUACGUAGGGGGCUAGCGUUAUCCGGAUUUACUGGGCGUAAAGGGUGCGUAGGCGGUCUUUCAAGUCAGGAGUGAAAGGCUACGGCUCAACCGUAGUAAGCUCUUGAAACUGGGAGACUUGAGUGCAGGAGAGGAGAGUGGAAUUCCUAGUGUAGCGGUGAAAUGCGUAGAUAUUAGGAGGAACACCAGUUGCGAAGGCGGCUCUCUGGACUGUAACUGACGCUGAGGCACGAAAGCGUGGGGAGCAAACAGGAUUAGAUACCCUGGUAGUCCACGCUGUAAACGAUGAGUACUAGGUGUCGGGGGUUACCCCCUUCGGUGCC